rnacentral:rRNA from 1 species
GUCCACGCCUUAAACUAUGGAUACUAAGUGUCGGCGGUUUACCGCCGGUGCCGCAGCUAACGCAAUAAGUAUCCCACCUGGGGAGUACGUUCGCAAGAAUGAAACUCAAAGGAAUUGACGGGGCCCGCACAAGCGGUGGAGCAUGUGGUUUAAUUCGAUGAUACGCGAGGAACCUUACCAAGGCUUAAAUGUAGUUUGACCGUUUUGGAAACAGAACUUUCGCAAGACAAAUUACAAGGUGCUGCAUGGUUGUCGU